rnacentral:tRNA from 1 species
GAGGGUCUAGCUCAGUGGUAGAGUGCAUGCCUACCAUGCAUGAGGUCUAGGUUCAAUCCCCAGGAUCUCCA